UCGUUAAAUAUUAGUUCUAUUAAAAGGCUCUUAGUACUAAAAACAGGUAUGAAAAAUAUUAAAGCGUUUUCAAAACACGUUAAGUCAAACUGGUUAAAGCUUCAAAGCAUGCAAGUUAGAAGCCAAACAGAUGAGCACUAAGUGGCGUUAUGUCUUUUUAACAACCAAUGAAAAGUCUGUUUAUAUAACUAUUUAAAAUGUAUCACCUAAUACAAAGUGGCUGAAAUUGGAGAAAGUUUAAUAGCUGUUGAAGAAAAUGCAAACAACCAUCUAACUUAGGGAAAAAAAACAAAAAGAAAGGAUGUAUGCUUUAAAUGUCCUGCAAUUCUGAUAAUAAAACUUCAUUUCACAGAGUUUGUUUGUGAUGAUUUAUGUGCCAAUAUAUAAAUGUAGCAAAUAUUAAUGAAGCUAUGGCAUUAAAUGUAAUUUUAACACAAAAAUGUCAAAUCUCAAGUCAAAUGGUUUAUCAA